UACGGAGGGUGCGAGCGUUGUCCGGAAUCACUGGGCGUAAAGGGCGCGUAGGUGGCGCGGAAAGUCAACGGUGAAAGCUUGGGGCUCAACCCCGAGUCGGCCGUCGAUACUUCUGGGCUUGAGCACUGUAGAGGCAGGUGGAAUUCCGGGUGUAGCGGUGGAAUGCGUAGAGAUCCGGAAGAACACCGGUGGCGAAGGCGGCCUGCUGGGCAGAUACUGACGCUGAGGUGCGAAAGCGUGGGGAGCAAACAGG
rnacentral:rRNA from 1 species